rnacentral:misc_RNA from 1 species
UUAUCCUCCCCGUGUCUCAAUCAUUUAGGAAUCUUGUAAAAGUCGGAUUCCAUUCUUGUUUAGACCAUCUUCAGCCACUAUUGCCUUCUGUUGUUGAAUAAAACAAAGAAAGAAGAUGUAUUCCCCACUUUUGCUCUUGCUUUGCUCAUCAUCUUUCAUUCAAUCAAAACAAAUGACUUGGUUGUGGGUAUUCUUUGACAGGA